UUUUUGUUUAACUGCAGCAAAUUGCUGCAUUCAAUAUUUUGCGAAGACGUCUAAAAACUGUGCCAUCAAACUCUUUCAAUGGUGAUCAACUCAAACGAGCAUCAUCAGGCAACCCUUACUCCCAAAUUUUACAUCAUAGUGGAUCAAAAAUUACUGAGGAUGUUGAUAUGGACCAAGAUAAUGGGAAUUUACAGAACGGAAUUGACUUUGCUACACUGCAACAGUUUAAGAAAAUGCAGCAACACCAUAUGCUAGCAAAAUCACGAGCACAAUUACGAAACAGUUCCACUUCAGUAUUGAAGGAGGGGCCCAAAAGUAGAGCCCCAACAAUCUCCAACAUUAGAGAGAAACAAGCCUCCUUCAAGAUCAUCUAGGAGAGGGCCGGGGCAGUUGCAGAUUUAACUGCUGUCAUUGCUGCCAAUCAAUAGUUCUAGUUCAAUCGUACUCAAGCCACAGGCAAUAUUAGGUAUAUAGUUUGUAAAAUUUUAUAUCUAUAGUAGUUUGUUUCUAUAUU